CAGGUAACAGGCAGGCCUGCCACACGUGACCCAUGGUCGCCAGGUAACAGGUAGGCCUGCCACACGUGACCCAUGGUCGCCAGGUAACAGGCAGGCCUGCCACACGUGACCCAUGGUCACCAGGUAACAGGUAAGCCUGCCACACGUGACCCAUGGUCACCAGGUAACAGGUAAGCCUGCCACACGUGACCCAUGGUCGCCAGGUAACAGGCAGGCCUGCCACACGUGACCCAUGGCCGCCAGGUAACAGGUAAGCCUGCCACACGUGACCCAUGGUCACCAGGUAACAGGUAAGCCUGCCACACGUGACCCAUGGUCGCCAGGUAACAGGCAGGCAUGUCAGGUAUCUGCCCCUCACCAGGUAACAGGCAGGCAGACGGACAGGCAGCGAGACCGACCGACCCUGCUCUGGGCACAGGAGGCCAACCCCGCCUGGCCCCGCUCACUGUGGCCUCCUCAGCGCAUGGCUGGCUGAGCCCCAGGCUGCGCGCAGGGGGACAAGGGCCCACGCGCACCUGCAGGUUGUAGGGCGUGAUGACGGCAAUGUCACUUGCUUGGA